GAGGAAUAUUGGUCAAUGGGCGCAAGCCUGAACCAGCCAUCCCGCGUGCAGGAAGACGGCGCUAUGCGUUGUAAACUGCUUUUCCAGGGAGAGAAACUUGCGCACGUGUUGCGCAGUCGACGGUACCCUGGGCAUAAGCACCGGCUAACUCCGUGCCAGCAGCCGCGGUAAUACGGAGGAUGCGAGCGUUAUCCGGAUCCAUUGGGUUUAAAGGGUGCGUAGGCGGACUGUUAAGUCAGUGGUGAAAUCCUGCAGCUUAACUGCAGAACUGCCAUUGAUACUGAUAGCCUUGAGUUCGGUUAAGGUAGGAAGAAUGUGUAAUGUAGCGGUGAGAUGCUUAGA
rnacentral:rRNA from 1 species